AUGGUUCAACACAACUCCAAUCAGUGUAGUUCGAGAAGCACCGUGGUAAUGUCUAACCGUGUUAAGCUCAAAAAAACUAUCUCAACUCCUUCAGAAACUAAAAAUAGACCACCGAAACACAGUAAUAUCAGCUUCCCUUUUUCUCUUAGUCGAGGCCCAAAACCAAAAACACCCCCAAGUCAAAAAGUGGAAAACAAAAACAAAAACAGAGAAAAACCAAAACCAGUGACUAAGAAGGCCUUUGCACCGAGUCCAAAAACGGUUAUCAAAAUCUUAAUCACUGAUAACAGUAUAUACAAUCUUGCUCCAUGCUCAAAGAAGCAAUGUUAA